rnacentral:lncRNA from 1 species
AGCCUGCUGAUAGGAUCCUAAUCGAAUGGGAAGGAGAACCUGGAUACUGGCUGGGAAAUGCUGGCAAAGGACAGCUGCUGCUGGGAAGACGUUAUCAGGGCCAUCGUGACAGGAUGCACAAAGGCAGGGGACAAAGCGGGACCGCGGCUCUUUCCGUCUGAGAUGUCUGAUUAGAUGCUGAAUUUGUGACUCGCAGCUACUGAGCCGAGGACUCUUUGAUGGGCGUACCUGUCUCAGGUGACACUGUGAAUUCUGCCAUUCAUACAGCACAUGGCACCUCAGGGACAGCCAGGGACUUCUGUGCUUACUGCAAACAAGUAACACAUUUUUUUGUGUGUUUAUAUCCAACAAAUGUCUAAUCUGCCUUUAUCCCGCUGGUUUUUGAUGCCAGCUGAUUCUCCCAGUCAGGAAUUCUUAAUACAAGCACUGGAGAGCAUCUGCAGAAACAAAUGUUACUCAGCUUGUAUCCUGCUUUCCUCCUCAGCUGACCUCAAAGCGGUCUCAAAAAGAAAUCAGCAUCGUUAUCUCCCUUUGACAACUGGGAAAACAGAGGUCUUUGUUCAGCUCUCACUCCAGCCUGCUUCUCCCCUGUCAAUCCCAGCGAUGUUUCAGGGGGGUUUCGUCGCUCUGAGCAGCACCACCAGUACCUGCAGCAUGGAAAAACACAACAACCCGCAGCCUUGCUGUGAAAUUAGCCUGACCCAUGGCUGGUUCCCACCUCAUCUGGGAUAAUUCUGCCUUCCUGGAGCCAGGGAAGAUGCCAAGGCCUGAGGCUGGUGCACGCAGGUGGCAGCAGCAGGAGCCUGCAGGGAGCUCAGACCCCAAAAUGCGUGUGAGCAAACAGAACUACGUGCCAAGGGCUCUGCUGGGAAUGCCAACAGCUCUCUCUGCACAAGAAAAGCUCCAUUUCCGACAAAGACAAAAAUAAAAAAUAAAAGCAAGCUAUUUUUUUAAGGUGU